CAAUGCGCUGCCACCGUCAAAGCUCUCAAAGAUCGAAGAUCAAAGCCACCAUCCCUUCCAACCUUGAAAUCUGAAGAUCGAAGCCACCAUUGAAGAUCGAAGCCACCAUCAAAGCUCUCAAAGAAAAGGAAGCUCGGUGUCAUUUUAAUCACAUCUUUGUUUCUGUUUUUUAGAGAGAGAAAGCUAAUGUUUUGGAAGGAGAGAUAACAAUUUUCAUGUUGUUCACCUAGACACCAAGAACACACGCACAAGUGUGUGAGAGAGAAACAGGUGGAAAGAUGUUUUGUGUUCAAGAUGAAGAUGGUUAUCAAGAAGCGAAACCCGCGGAAGGAUUACAACGCAUCAUCAGGUUUUCGUGGUGACGAUGGUGUUGUUGUGAAGGCAAUUUUUAGAAGACCAUUUUAGAAGCAUUACAACUAUUGAUAUAAAAUUUAUUUUUAUUUUCAUUGUUAGUAUGCCAAUAUUUGGAUGAAUACGGAUGUUGUUGUGAAGGCAA